rnacentral:rRNA from 1 species
UGCGUAGGCGGCUUUUUAAGUCGGAUGUGAAAUCCCCGAGCUUAACUUGGGAAUUGCAUUCGAUACUGGGAAGCUAGAGUAUGGGAGAGGAUGGUAGAAUUCCAGGUGUAGCGGUGAAAUGCGUAGAGAUCUGGAGGAAUACCGAUGGCGAAGGCAGCCAUCUGGCCUAAUACUGACGCUCAGGUGCGAAAGCGUGGGGAGCACACAGGAUUAGAUAUCCUGGUA